rnacentral:rRNA from 1 species
GCAUAUCAAUAAGCGGAGGAAAAGAAACCAACAGGGAUUGCCUCAGUAACGGCGAGUGAAGCGGCAAAAGCUCAAAUUUGAAAUCUGGCUCCUUCGGGGCCCGAGUUGUAAUUUGCAGAGGAUGCUUCGGGCGUGGCCGCGGUCUAAGUCCCCUGGAACGGGGCGUCGCAGAGGGUGAGAAUCCCGUCUUCGGCCGGCCGGCUUCGCCCAUGUGAAGCUCCUUCGACGAGUCGAGUUGUUUGGGAAUGCAGCUCUAAAUGGGUGGUAAAUUUCAUCUAAAGCUAAAUAUUGGUCGGAGACCGAUAGCGCACAAGUAGAGUGAUCGAAAGAUGAAAAGCACUUUGAAAAGAGAGUUAAACAGCAUGUGAAAUUGUUGAAAGGGAAGCGCUUGCGACCAGAGUCGGCCGCGGGGGUUCAGCGGGCAUUCGUUGCCCGUGCACUCCCCCGCGGGCGGGCCAGCGUCGGUUUCGACGGCCGGUCAAAGGCCCCCGGAAUGUGUCGCCUCUCGGGGCGUCUUAUAGCCGGGGGUGCAAUGCGGCCAGUCGGGACCGAGGAACGCGCUUCGGCACGGACGCUGGCUUAAUGGUCGUAAGCGACCCGUCUUGAAACACGGACC